rnacentral:rRNA from 1 species
GUGCCAGCAGCCGCGGUAAUACGUAGGUGGCAAGCGUUGUCCGGAUUUAUUGGGCGUAAAGGAUGUGUAGGCGGAUAUUUAAGUGAGAUGUGAAAUCCCCGGGCUCAACUUGGGGGCUGCAUUUCAAACUGGAUGUCUGGAGUGCAGGAGAGGAAAGCAGAAUUCCUAGUGUAGCGGUGAAAUGCGGAGAGAUGUGGAAGCAUACCAGUGGCGAAGGCGGCUUUCUGGACUGUAACUGACGCUGAGGCAUGAAAGCGUGGGGAGAAAACAGGAUUAGAUACCCGGGUAGUCCACGCCGUAAACGAUGAGUACUAGGUGUAGGAGGUAUCGACUCCUUCUGUGCCGCAGUUAACACAAUAAGUAUUCCGCCUGGGAAGUACGGUCGCAAGAUUAAAACUCAAAGGAAUUGACGG